rnacentral:lncRNA from 10 species
UAAAUGUUUUUGUUUGUUUGUUUGUUUGGUUGGUUUUUUUUGAGACAGAGUCUCGCUCUGUCGCCCAGGCUGGAGUGCAGUGGCGCGAUCUCGGCUCACUGCAGGCUCCGCCUCCCGGGUUCAUGCCAUUCUCCUGCCUCAGCCUCCCGAGUAGCUGGGACUACAGGCGCCCGCCACCGCGCCCAGCUAAUUUUUUAUAUUUUUAGUAGAGACGGGGUUUCACCGUUUUAGCCAGGAUGGUCUCGAUCUCCUGACCUUGUGAUCCGC